rnacentral:rRNA from 1 species
GCAGUCGAACGGUAACAGGAAGCAGCUUGCUGCUUCGCUGACGAGUGGCGGAGGGGAGAGUAAUGUCUGGGAAACUGCCUGAUGGAGGGGGAUAACUACUGGAAACGGUAGCUAAUACCGCAUAACGUCGCAAGACCAAAGAGGGGGACCUUCGGGCCUCUUGCCAUCGGAUGUGCCCAGAUGGGAUUAGCUAGUAGGUGGGGUAACGGCUCACCUAGGCGACGAUCCCUAGCUGGUCUGAGAGGAUGACCAGCCACACUGGAACUGAGACACGGUCCAGACUCCUACGGGAGGCAGCAGUGGGGAAUAUUGCACAAUGGGCGCAAGCCUGAUGCAGCCAUGCCGCGUGUAUGAAGAAGGCCUUCGGGUUGUAAAGUACUUUCAGCGGGGAGGAAGGCGAUGAGGUUAAUAAUCUUGGCGAUUGACGUUACCCGCAGAAGAAGCACCGGCUAACUCCGUGCCAGCAGCCGCGGUAAUACGGAGGGUGCAAGCGUUAAUCGGAAUUACUGGGCGUAAAGCGCACGCAGGCGGUCUGUCAAGUCGGAUGUGAAAUCCCCGGGCUCAACCUGGGAACUGCAUUCG